CGCGUAGGCGGCCAGACAAGUCCGGUGUGAAAGUCACAGGCUCAACCUGUGAAUGCCGCUGGAAACUGUCUGGCUAGAGUCCGGAAGGGGCGAGUGGAAUUCCUGGUGUAGCGGUGAAAUGCGCAGAUAUCAGGAGGAACACCUAUGGCGAAGGCAGCUCGCUGGGACGGUACUGACGCUGAGGCGCGAAAGCGUGGGGAGCAAACA
rnacentral:rRNA from 1 species